rnacentral:rRNA from 1 species
AUUGAGUUUUUUUUAUAUUCUAUUUUUCUUUGGUUAUAUUACCUUUUGCAUCAUGAUUCGUUGAUUAUAUUUAAUUAUUUUAGUUAUUCCGAAGGGUGACGAUUUUUAGUGUGCUUGCUUUGAGCUUAAUAUUUUACGGGUAGUUGAUGAUUAAAGCAUGCUAAGGUAGUGAUAAAUUAUUCGUGUUUCCUUAUAUCUGAUAGUGGGAUAUUUUUUCUAUUAAGGUCAGUUGUUAUGAGAUGACUGGUCGGGUAAGAGACUCCUUUUUUUAUAGUAAAUUCUGGGUUUAGAGGUUUCCUUGAUUUUUGAGUUUGUUAAAAAAAAGUUUGUUUGGUUUUGGUCUUUAUUAGAGUGUCUCUUCUGUAAAUUUGUUUUUUUAUGAUGAAAUAAGUAGGAUAAUAUUAGUUUCUUUUCUUCUCGACAGGUGUCGGUCUGUUUAUUAAAAACAUUUCCAUUUUGAAGUUUAGAUGGUAUUUGCCUGCCCAAUGUUUUUUAUUAAUGGCCGCGGUAUAUUAACCGCGCAAAGGUAGCAUAAUUAGUUGCCUCAUAAUUGGAGGAUUGUUUGAAUGGCUUGACUAGAUUUCGUUUAAGAUGGAGGCUUUAUUUGAAAUUGAUUUUAAGGUGCAGAAUCCUUGAAUAUAUAAUUAGACGGAAAGACCCCGAGAUCUUUAUACUUUUGUGUUUAUUUGGGGUAAAGGUAAAUUUUUUAUUUGCUUUUAGAUCCUUAAAUUAUUUUAGGGUAAAAGGUUUAGUUACCUCGGGGAUAACUGUGUAAGAAAUAAUUAGAGAUCUUAUCGAUUUAUUUAUUUGCCACCUCGAUGUUGACUUGGAGAUUUGCAUAGGCGCAGUAGUUUAUGUGGAAGGUCUGUUCGACCUAUAAUUCUCCUCAUGAGUUGAGUUAAGACCGGCGUGAGCCAGGUCGGUUCUUAUCUAUUUUUCAGUUUAUUUAGUACGAAAGGAAUAAUAUUCUUUUAUGUU